UACGGGGGGGGCAAGCGUUGUUCGGAAUUACUGGGCGUAAAGGGCUUGUAGGUGGCCAACUAAGUCAGACGUGAAAUCCCUCGGCUUAACUGGGGAACUGCGUCCGAUACUGGAUGGCUUGGAUUCGGGAGAGGGAUGCGGAAUUCCAGGUGUAGCGGUGAAAUGCGUAGAUAUCUGGAGGAACACCGGUGGCGAAGGCGGCAUCCUGGACCGAUAUUGACGCUGAGGAGCGAAAGCCAGGGGAGCAAACGGG
rnacentral:rRNA from 1 species